GAAUUUUGCAGACUCUGGUAGGCAGCCAAUCACAUUUGAGAAUCCUCUGUACUCGACUACAGCCGGCCCAUCCAGCGAUCCAGCAGUAAUACACGCUACUCAGGUCACUGUGAACGUCAGCGGUGACCAGGUGGAGAAUAACUUCUCAAACCCUACGUAUAACGCUCAUGAACAGGCAGUGGAGGUGAAGAGCAGACCUGCAGAGCAAACAACCACACAGGAGUCCAAAUGGAGUUUCUUUAAAAGAAAACUGAAGCCAAGCACAACAUUUGAAAACCCUACAUAUUCAGAGGUG